rnacentral:lncRNA from 1 species
UGGCUAUGCCCGUUUCACCAAAUGUUUAAAAGGCAAACAUUUGAAGUGUACCAGUUUUUGGUGUGAGGACAAACUCCUUGGGCCACCUGACUCUGCCCUUGAGACAGUGGCCCCAAGGGGCCGCAGUGUGACCAGGCCUGGGCGAUACUGCCAUGUUCAGUAUACUCCACUCAAUUAUUUAAGGCACAAGGCACUGUUUCCUUCGAGGAGCAAAGCUUUCAGAACAUUCAAAAUUCAUUGGAGAAGCCCACUGCAUAUCACAGCCCACGUCAGGCCUCAUUCCCUGAUACCAGGACUGAUCACUACGCUUCAUCUGAUCCCUAUGACAACCCCAAGAUGUUGGUACUGCUAUUAUUCCCAUGUCACAGGUGAGGAACUGAAGCUCAAAGGUCAGUGUCCUUCAGUGUGAGACCAAGCCAAGAUGGAGUCCAAGGUCCUAGCUCUGGCCCUCCAGACUUCACUGCUUUCCAGGGAAGCACUCUCCACUCUAGUGCCCUGCUUCCUCAUUGUUUGCCUGGGCAAAUGUUAUUGAUCUUCCAAGACUCAGCUUGAAGGUCGCCUUCUUCAGAAAGCCUUCCCUAACACCUUGCAGGGUUAAGCAUUUCAUCCUUGUUCGAAUUUCAACAACGAAUUCAUUGCCCUAAUUACCUGCUUCCCAACCAUCUCCCUCAGGAAGGCAGGGAACCCCGUUCUAGGAACCCAUAUAUUCUUAGUGCCAGACAAAGACACCUUCCUUGGCAUUCAACAUCCAGGUGAUGGUCCUCAGUCAAAAGGGCAAGAAAGGAGGACAAGCUGACGUGCAGACAGAGUGAUCAGAAGGGAAUUCAGAUCCAUCUGAGUAA